rnacentral:misc_RNA from 1 species
GAUGAAGAACGCAGUGAAAUGCGAUAAGUAGUGUGAAUUGCAGAAUUCAGUGAAUCAUCGAAUCUUUGAACGCACAUUGCGCCCCUUGGUAUUCCAUGGGGCAUGCCUGUUCGAGCGUCAUUUGUACCUUCAAGCUUUGCUUGGUGUUGGGUGUUUGUCUCGCCUUUGCGUGUAGACUCGCCUUAAAAUAAUUGGCAGCCGGCGUAUUGAUUUCGGAGCGCAGUACAUCUCGCGCUUUGCACUCAUAACGACAGCGUCCAAAAGUACAUUUUACACUCUUGACCUCGGAUCAGGUAGGGAUACCCGCUGAACUUAAGCAUAUCAAUAGCGGAGGA